rnacentral:rRNA from 1 species
GAAACAGGUGCUAAUACCGCAUAACCAUAGUUACCGCAUGGUAACUAUGUAAAAGGUGGCUAUGCUACCGCUUUUGGAUGGGCCCGCGGCGCAUUAGCUAGUUGGUGGGGUAAAGGCUUACCAAGGCAAUGAUGCGUAGCCGAACUGAGAGGUUGAUCGGCCACAUUGGGACUGAGACACGGCCCAAACUCCUACGGGAGGCAGCAGUAGGGAAUCUUCCACAAUGGGCGAAAGCCUGAUGGAGCAACGCCGCGUGGGUGAAGAAGGUCUUCGGAUCGUAAAACCCUGUUGUUAGAGAAGAAAGUGCGUGAGAGUAACUGUUCACGUUUCGACGGUAUCUAACCAGAAAGCCACGGCUAACUACGUGCCAGCAGCCGCGGUAAUACGUAGGUGGCAAGCGUUAUCCGGAUUUAUUGGGCGUAAAGGGAACGCAGGCGGUCUUUUAAGUCUGAUGUGAAAGCCUUCGGCUUAACCGGAGUAGUGCAUUGGAAACUGGGAGACUUGAGUGCAGAAGAGGAGAGUGGAACUCCAUGUGUAGCGGUGAAAUGCGUAGAUAUAUGGAAGAACACCAGUGGCGAAAGCGGCUCUCUGGUCUGUAACUGACGCUGAGGUUCGAAAGCGUGGGUAGCAAACAGGAUUAGAUACCCUGGUAGUCC